GAUGAACGCUGGCGGCGUGCCUAAUACAUGCAAGUCGAGCGAACGGACGAGAAGCUUGCUUCUCUGAUGUUAGCGGCGGACGGGUGAGUAACACGUGGAUAACCUACCUAUAAGACUGGGAUAACUUCGGGAAACCGGAGCUAAUACCGGAUAAUAUUUUGAACCGCAUGGUUCAAAAGUGAAAGACGGUCUUGCUGUCACUUAUAGAUGGAUCCGCGCUGCAUUAGCUAGUUGGUAAGGUAACGGCUUACCAAGGCAACGAUGCAUAGCCGACCUGAGAGGGUGAUCGGCCACACUGGAACUGAGACACGGUCCAGACUCCUACGGGAGGCAGGAGUAGGGAAUCUUCCGCAAUGGGCGAAAGCCUGACGGAGCAACGCCGCGUGAGUGAUGAAGGUCUUCGGAUCGUAAAACUCUGUUAUUAGGGAAGAACAUAUGUGUAAGUAACUGUGCACAUCUUGACGGUACCUAAUCAGAAAGCCACGGCUAACUACGUG
rnacentral:rRNA from 1 species